rnacentral:rRNA from 1 species
CUACGUGCCAGCAGCCGCGGUAAUACGUAGGUGGCAAGCGUUGUCCGGAAUUAUUGGGCGUAAAGCGCGCGCAGGCGGAUUGGUCAGUCUGUCUUAAAAGUUCGGGGCUUAACCCCGUGAUGGGAUGGAAACUGCCAAUCUAGAGUAUCGGAGAGGAGAGUGGAAUUCCUAGUGUAGCGGUGAAAUGCGUAGAUAUUAGGAAGAACACCAGUGGCGAAGGCGACUUUCUGGACGAAAACUGACGCUGAGGCGCGAAAGCCAGGGGAGCGAACGGGAUUAGAUACCCCGGUAGUCCUGGCCGUAAACGAUGGGUACUAGGUGUAGGAGGUAUCGACCCCUUCUGUGCCGGAGUUAACGCAAUAAGUACCCCGCCUGGGGAGUACGACCGCAAGGUUGAAACUCAAAGGAAUUGACGGGGGCCCGCACAAGCGGUGGAGUAUGUGGUUUAAUUCGAAGCAACGCGAAGAACCUUACCUACUCUUGACAUCCAUGGAAUCUUGUAGAGAUACGAGAGUGC